CUGAAUGUGGUGAAGGAGCUGUAGCGAGGGAGGAUGCUCAUCAUCAGGUGACCCCACGUGGCGAAAUUCAUGUUCAUCUGGGCUGCUCUGAGGAAGUUCUUCCCUGGAGGAGAAAUCACACGUAAACAAAUCAACCAACAGGCAGGUCACUGUGCGUGUACCUUGGCGUAGAGGAGGCCCUGAGGCUCCAGACUUAAGCCCUGGUUGUGGUUCGGGUUGUCCAUCAUCUCCUCCAGUCGCAGGAACUUGAUGGCGCACAUCGCUGUCCGGUCCCGCCAGAAGACACCGACCUCCAGCUCUCGAGACUGUUGAAGGUUCAGCAGAAGAAACACACCAUCGGUGAACACAGGUAUGAGGGAGACACCUGCUGGUCACAGACAGAACUACAACAAUAAUAAAUCCUGAUUGCUGAGCCUCUGAGUCGCCAGCUGCCUUUACUCCACUCCUUCAUGGUAAGAGCAGGUUGUUCUCUCACACACACUAUGUUUGAUUUUCAGCAGGAUUACACAAAAAGUACUGAACCGAUUUGCACCAGAGUUGGUGGAGGGAUGAGGCAAAGACAAGGGAGGAACCCAUUAAAUUGGUGCAGAUCACGGAUGUUUUUAUCAUGUUCCUUAUCGUUGUGAGAUGAUUCUACAUUCUGCAGAUUCAGAUAACGCUCCAGAUUAUGGUGCUUCCCUUUUCGCUUUACUUUUCUAUUUCUAAUCCACACAGACGUGUAGGGUUUAGAGGGGGACACAGGAGUGGAUUUAGUCCAGUCCCACUACCACAAAAUAAUCCCGUCCAAUCCUGUUUUUUUGGCUGGAGUCAGUUCUGUAAAACCGUCUUCCCCAAAUCCUCUGACUCCAUAUUGUUUGGCUGCGCCGUGCGUCUUCACCCACACAAUAAAAUAUGAAAUAAUCAUCCAUUCAAAGCUUGACUGUCGUGAUUAUUAUUCAUCAUCCCGUCCGCUCCUGUUGACUUUUAUUCCCGUCCCAUCCCAGUCAUGUGUGAGGAGUGAAAGUGAUUCCCAUCCUGUGUGAAACCCAUGGGAAUCAUGUCAGCCUCCAGGAGGACUGAUUGGCCUUGGUGGUGUAGUGAUCUACUGAGUGGUUAGUUUGGUUUUCAGUUAACUCAGGGCUGUUCUUUGCACUCGAGCGCAGUGAGAUUUGGUUUGGAGCUCAGAAGAGCUGCUUCUAAAGGUCAAGACUGAAGCUUUGCUCAGAAGUUGUGGUGUCAGACGAUGUAAAGAUGGUGAACACUGUGAUAUCAAAGUACUCGAAGU